rnacentral:rRNA from 1 species
GACGUAGGGCGCGAGCGUUGUCCGGAUUUAUUGGGCGUAAAGAGCUCGUAGGCGGUUCGGUAAGUCGGGUGUGAAACCUCCAGGCUCAACCUGGAGACGCCACCUGAUACUGCUGUGACUGGAGUCCGGUAGGGGAGCGUGGAAUUCCUGGUGUAGCGGUGAAAUGCGCAGAUAUCAGGAGGAACACCAGCGGCGAAGGCGGCGCUCUGGGCCGGAACUGACGCUGAGGAGCGAAAGCGUGGGUAGCAAACAGG